rnacentral:ncRNA from 1 species
CAUCGCGAUGCUCUUCAAUCAAGGAGAGAUCGUGAUGAGGAUACUAUCGAAACGCCAGCUGAAGGAGUUGGUCCUGUACUCGCCGCAGCAUAUUGCACGUCUGGAAAAGGCCGACUUAUUCCCCAAACGGGUACAGCUUGGCCCUAACAGAGUGGGAUGGGUUGAAGACGAAGUGCUGGAGUGGCUCAAGCGUCGGCUGGAAGACCGCAAGUGACCUGAACGACGCUCCUCUUUGGGAGCACGUGGCGGCUGGAGGUGCACACUUC